UACGGAGGGUGCAAACGUUGCUCGGAAUCAUUGGGCGUAAAGCGCACGUAGGCGGUCUCGUAAGUUGGAUGUGAAAGCCCUUGGCUUAACCAAGGAAGUGCAUUCAAAACUGCUUGACUUAAGUACCGGAGAGGGUCGCGGAAUUCUCGGUGUAGAGGUGAAAUUCGUAGAUAUCGGGAGGAACACCAGUGGCGAAGGCGGCGACCUGGACGGAUACUGACGCUGAGGUGCGAAAGCGUGGGGAGCAAACAGG
rnacentral:rRNA from 1 species